rnacentral:rRNA from 1 species
CCCAAUGGGGGCGUGCAUAUACAUGCAGUCGAGCGAAUGGAUUAAGAGCUUGCUCUUAUGAAGUUAGCGGCGGACGGGUGAGUAACACGUGGGUAACCUGCCCAUAAGACUGGGAUAACUCCGGGAAACCGGGGCUAAUACCGGAUAACAUUUUGAACCGCAUGGUUCGAAAUUGAAAGGCGGCUUCGGCUGUCACUUAUGGAUGGACCCGCGUCGCAUUAGCUAGUUGGUGAGGUAACGGCUCACCAAGGCAACGAUGCGUAGCCGACCUGAGAGGGUGAUCGGCCACACUGGGACUGAGACACGGCCCAGACUCCUACGGGAGGCAGCAGUAGGGAAUCUUCCGCAAUGGACGAAAGUCUGACGGAGCAACGCCGCGUGAGUGAUGAAGGCUUUCGGGUCGUAAAACUCUGUUGUUAGGGAAGAACAAGUGCUAGUUGAAUAAGCUGGCACCUUGACGGUACCUAACCAGAAAGCCACGGCUAACUACGUGCCAGCAGCCGCGGUAAUACGUAGGUGGCAAGCGUUAUCCGGAAUUAUUGGGCGUAAAGCGCGCGCAGGUGGUUUCUUAAUUCUGAUGUGAAAGCGCACGGCUCAACCGU